AGCGAAUCCUAGAAAAGCCGGUCUCAGUUCGGAUUGCAGGCUGCAACUCGCCUGCAUGAAGUCGGAAUUGCUAGUAAUCGCGGAUCAGCAUGCCGCGGUGAAUACGUUCCCGGGUCUUGUACACACCGCCCGUCACACCACGAGAGUUUACAACACCCGAAGUCGGUGAGGUAACCGCAAGGAGCCAGCCGCCGAAGGUGGGGUAGAUGAUUGGGGUGAAGUCGUAACAAGGUAGCCGUAUCGGAAGGUGC
rnacentral:rRNA from 1 species